GACGAACGCUGGCGGCGUGCUUAACACAUGCAAGUCGAGCGGUAAGGCCCUUCGGGGUACACGAGCGGCGAACGGGUGAGUAACACGUGGGUAACCUGCCCUGUACUCUGGGAUAAGCCUUGGAAACGAGGUCUAAUACCGGAUACGACUCUCUAUCGCAUGAUGGAGGGUGGAAAGUUCCGGCGGUAUGGGAUGGACCCGCGGCCUAUCAGCUUGUUGGUGGGGUAAUGGCCUACCAAGGCGA
rnacentral:rRNA from 1 species